GUGGGGAAUAUUGGACAAUGGGCGAAAGCCUGAUCCAGCCAUGCCGCGUGUGUGAAGAAGGUCUUCGGAUUGUAAAGCACUUUAAGUUGGGAGGAAGGGCAGUAAGUUAAUACCUUGCUGUUUUGACGUUACCGACAGAAUAAGCACCGGCUAACUUCGUACCAGCAGCCGCGGUAAUACGAAGGGUGCAAGCGUUAAUCGGAAUUACUGGGCGUAAAGCGCGCGUAGGUGGUUUUGUAAGUUGGAGGUGAAAUCCCCGGGCUCAACCUGGGAACUGCCUCCAAAACUGCAUGACUAGAGUACGGUAGAGGGUAGUGGAAUUUCCUGUGUAGCGGUGAAAUGCGUAGAUAUAGGAAGGAACACCAGUGGCGAAGGCGACCACCUGGACUGAUACUGACACUGAGGUGCGAAAGCGUGGGGAGCAAACAGGAUUAGAAACCCUUGUAGUCC
rnacentral:rRNA from 1 species